CGGUAAGCCGGGCACUCUGGAUGGACUGCCGGCGACAAGCCGGAGGAAGUGGGGAUGACGUCAAGUCCUCAUGGCCCUUAUGGGUAGGGCUUCACACGUCAUACAAUGGUCGGUACAGAGGGUUGCCAAGCCGCGAGGUGGAGCCAAUCCCACAAAGCCGAUCGUAGUCCGGAUUGUUCUCUGCAACUCGAGAGCAUGAAGUCGGAAUCGCUAGUAAUCGCAGGUCAGCAUACUGCGGUGAAUACGUUCCCGGGUCUU
rnacentral:rRNA from 1 species